rnacentral:misc_RNA from 1 species
GAUCUGCCUGCUAUCAAAUGGAAAUACGUUAUUUUUUGGAGAAACUUUGGCUUGCUUGCAGCACUUCUCAAAUGCCGGAUUUCCUUGCCCAAUUAUGCAAAGUCCUUCUGAUCACUUCUUACGUGCAAUAAACACGGAUUUUGACAGGAUAAUUGCAAUGUGCAAAAAUUGGCAGGAUGACCAUGGAGACUUUUCAUCAGUGAAUAUGGAUACUGCUGUUGCCAUUCGUACCUUAGAAGCAACAUAUAAAUCAUCAGCAGAUGCUGCUGCAGUUGAAACAAUGAUAUUGAAACUCACAGAAAAGGAGGGUCCGUAUCUUAAAAGCAAGGGAAAAGCUAGCAGUGC